rnacentral:lncRNA from 1 species
GUUAGGAAGGAUUAGGAACCAGGUAGGACAGUGGGUUAGGGUUUAGAGUGUGUUAGGAAGGAUUAGGAACCAGGUAGGACAGUGGGUUAGGGGGUUUAGAGUGUGUUAGGAAGGAUUAGGAACCAGGUAGGACAGUGGGUUAGGGUUUAGAGUGUGUUAGGAAGGAUUAGGAACCAGGUAGGACAGUGGGUUAGGGGUUUUAGAGUGUGUUAGGAAGGAUUAGGAACCAGGUAGGACAGUGGGUUAGGGGUUUAGAGUGUGUUAGGAAGGAUUAGGAACCAGGUAGGACAGUGGGUUAGGGGGUUUAGAGUGUGUUAGGAAGGAUUAGGAACCAGGUAGGACAGUGGGUUAGGGGGUUCAGAGUGUGUUAGGAAGGAUUAGGAACCAGGUAGGACAGUGGGUUAGGGGGUUUAGAGUGUGUUAGGAAGGAUUAGGAACCAGGUAGGACAGUGGGUUAGGGGUUUAGAGUGUGUUAGGAAGGAUUAGGAACCAGGUAGGACAGUGGGUUAGGGGUUUAGAGUGUGUUAGGAAGGAUUAGGAACCAG